rnacentral:tRNA from 3 species
CGCGGGGUAGAGCAGUUGGUAGCUCGUCGGGCUCAUAACCCGGAGGUCGUUGGUUCGAGUCCAGCCCCCGCUA